rnacentral:rRNA from 1 species
CGCGUAGGCGGGGAGGUAAGUCGGGUGUGAAAUCCCUCGGCCCAACCGAGGAACUGCGCCCGAGACUGCUUCUCUUGAGUCCCGGAGAGGAAGAUGGAAUUCCCGGUGUAGCGGUGAAAUGUGUAGAGAUCGGGAGGAACACCGGUGGCGAAGGCGGUCUUCUGGACGGUGACUGACGCUGAGGCGCGAAAGCGUGGGGAGCAAAACG